ACUGACCGAUUUCCUUAUAUGAACUUUGAAAUUGUUGCGUUUAAAUUUUUAUUUAGUAUAAACAUGAUAUACUGAUAAUAUAUAUAUAUAUAUAUAUAUAUAUUUUGAUACUGACAACAUACACUGAACAAAAAUAUAAACGCAACAUGUAAAGUGCUGUUCCCACUUCCCCACUCUGGUCCCUUACCAGCUUCAGGCCCACUUCCCCACUCUGGCCCCUUACCAGCUUCAGGUCCACUUCCCCACUCUGGCCCCUACCAGCUUCAGGUCCACUUCCCCACUCUGGCCCCUACCAGCUUCAGGUCCACUUCCCCACUCUGGCCCCUUACCAGCUUCAGGUCCACUUCCCCACUCUGAUCCCCUUACCAGCUUCAGGCCCACUUCCCCACUCUGGCCCCUUACCAGCU
rnacentral:lncRNA from 1 species